CGCCUUGGGACAUGGAAGUUGGGCCUUUAGGACCCCUACAUUGACCAGCCUUUGGGAUACUGACUGUCCUCAGGGAGUAACUGACAAUAGAGACAUAAAGAUCAAUGGCAAGUUUUACAGUGACAAGAAUAAUUACAGUGAGAAGCCAUCUUGCUACUGACUGGGGAAUUGGCGAAGUCACUCUAUUCAAGAACAUGGGAUUCUCACCAAAAUUAUGAUCCAUCCCUUAUUGGCUAUGUGCUUACGCCACUGAAAACAUGGGUGUGAAAUCAAAA